rnacentral:rRNA from 1 species
AAUCAACGCUGGCGGCGUGCCUAACACAUGCAAGUCGCACGAGAAAGGGACUUCGGUCCUGAGCACAGUGGCGCACGGGUGAGUAACACGUGAAUCAUCUACCUUCGAGUGGGGAAUAACUGAGAGAAAUCUUAGCUAAUACCGCAUAAUACCUACGGGUCAAAGCAGCAAUGCGCUUGAAGAGGAGUUCGCGGCAGAUUAGUUAGUUGGCAGGGUAAUAGGCCUACCAAGACGAUGAUCUGUAUCCGGCCUGAGAGGGCGCACGGACACACUGGAACUGAAACACGGUCCAGACUCCUACGGGAGGCAGCAGUGGGGAAUAUUGCACAAUGGGCGAAAGCCUGAUGCAGCAACGCCG